CUUCAAUAGUUCCUAAUCGCCCGCUGCUAGGCAUGUGGAAUCUAUCAUCCUGAGGAGAAAUUCUGAAUAAAAAGUGGCCAACAGUGAGGGCUUUUGUGAUGACCCAGGCACACUUCCUCCAACAGCUACAUAUCUGGAACCCAACUCUGCAGGACAGCAGUAUUUGAUGCUGUGGACGACAACAACGCUGCAAACAGCAUGGUUCUGUUUCGUGAUGUAGAUAUAAUAGAUGUAAUGAAUGCCGCUAGGUCCUGUGUCCACCAUACAUUUGAAAUGCAUUUAACUGGAAAACCGGUGCAGCUCUUUCAUCGUCCAUCAGAGGCCCCCAAAGCUCAAACCAGCCCUGCUUAUUUGCAGGUCAAACUCCCAACUCUCAGUCCCUGCAUUUUCCAUCACAGUGGAAGUGUCCCCCAUGCCCUGUAUAAGCUCAACGGAUUCAAUUAGGAGUGUUGCCGGGGGCACCGAUGUUCAGCAUGGGGCAGAGGAGGUCUGAUGCCUGGGUCACACGGCCUAAAUCAUGGAUGCAGGGAUCCUCAUUGUGGAGUACAAGUGUGCCCAGCUUGCCCCGGUACGGAAAAAGUACCGCUCUGGGACAGGUGUAGCUUGGAUCUUGGUGUGGUUGUGUUAAAAGUUUGUACUUUUCAAAGUGCUUGGUAUUCAUGUAAUUGUCAACAUGUUGAACAUAAUGAAUUUG